rnacentral:rRNA from 1 species
UACGGAGGGUGCGAGCGUUGCCCGGAAUCACUGGGCGUAAAGGGCGCGUAGGCGGCCUGAUAAGUAGGGGGUGAAAUCCUGCGGCUUAACCGCAGGGCUGCCUUCUAAACUGUCAGGCUUGAGCACAGUAGAGGCAGGUGGAAUUCCCGGUGUAGCGGUGGAAUGCGUAGAGAUCGGGAAGAACAUCAGUGGCGAAGGCGGCCUGCUGGGCUGUUGCUGACGCUGAGGCGCGACAGCGUGGGGAGCAAACAGG